rnacentral:hammerhead_ribozyme from 1 species
GUACUGCUGAAGAGUUCCGAACAAACUAGGACGAAACAACUGUCUAGUAC